rnacentral:rRNA from 1 species
UACGUAAGGGGGCUAGCGUUGCUCGGAUUGACUGGGCGUAAAGGGCGCGUAGGCGGAUAGUACAGUCAGGCGUGAAAUUCCUGGGCUCAACCUGGGGGCUGCGUUUGAUACGUGUUGUCUGGAGUUCGGAAGAGGGUCGUGGAAUUCCCAGUGUAGAGGUGAAAUUCGUAGAUAUUGGGAAGAACACCGGUGGCGAAGGCGGCAUCCUGGACCGACAUUGACGCUGAACGGCGAAAGCUAGGGGAGCAAACGGG